rnacentral:rRNA from 1 species
CGUGUAGGCGGGGAUGCAAGUCAGAUGUGAAAUUCCGAAGCUCAACUUCGGCGCUGCAUCUGAAACUGUAUCUCUUGAGUGCUGGAGAGGAAAGCGGAAUUCCUAGUGUAGCGGUGAAAUGCGUAGAUAUUAGGAGGAACACCAGUGGCGAAGGCGGCUUUCUGGACAGUAACUGACGCUGAGGCGCGAAAGCGUGGGGAGCGAACA